ensembl:lncRNA
UUUUGCUGCCCAGAGAAACUGUGGAUGCCCCAUCCCUGGAGGUGCUCAUGGCUGGGCUGGGUGGGCCCAGGGCAGCCUGAGCUGGUGGGGGCAGCCCUGCCCACUCAGGGGCUUAGAAGUGGGUCCCUUCCAGCCCAAGUUAUUCUGUGACUCAUUCUAUGAUUUUUCAAUUACAGAACCGUAUCGUCAUUUAGGUUGGAAAAAGCCUUUAAGAUCACCAAAUCCGAACACGACAGCACCAGCAUGUAACUUUCAGACGACGGGUCUCAGAGACAUGAGCUCUACAAGCCCUCGCACAGAACCCUGCUCAAACGGCAGGGCAGGCAGGAGGAGCACCACCUCCAAAAGCACCAGGCACGAAGGAGCUGGCUUCUCCAGGCCACGAGAGACAAGAGGGGACUCAGCACAAAACCCAGCCAGCCAGGUCGAGGAAAUCCACGGCCCACGAGGACCUGUACAGGGCGGCUGGUGAGUGAUUAAAACAACGCAGCGCUGCUCAGCUGAGAGCCGCGCUGCCAAACGCACGACUGCACCGUCCGCACCCCGGCCGCCCAUGGGACGGGCCACGUACCGGCGGCUCUGACGGCCGAGCGCAGCGGCGGGGGAAACCGAGGCGACCGGAGGGGGAGGGUGGCCACCGGGCGGGGCGUCCUGCGCGGGGCAGGCGGGGACGGGGCGGUGCACGGCCACUGCCUCCGCGCCGCUGCCGCUCAGAUGCGCGUAGCCGGGCCAGGGUGCUCGAGAAGAGGGGGCGGCUGAGCCGCUGCUCGCGGGUCGGCUGGGCAAGGGCAGGCGGCAGGAAGGUAGGCAGGCAGGUAGGUAGGAGCUCGCCCGCCCGCCCGCCAUACCCUGCCUGCACCUGCUCCGCUGGCACUCGGGGCUGUGCGAUGCGUGCGGCUGCCGCGUGCCGCCAUGGCGGGGUGCGGGCAGCGCUUCGGGCAGCGAGCGGCGGGAGGGAGAGAUGGAGGGAGGGAGUGAAGAUGGCGGGCGGUGGUCCCCGCUCUGAGGGGCCGCUGUGAGGGGCGGCGGCGGCCAGGGGUGCGCCGGGGGAGCCGACGGGGCUCCCUGCAGGGCUCCCUACAGCCCCGACCCUGGGAUGCGGUCCUUCGCCUCCCAGACCCUCGGCACCCGGAGGUCAGCCUGCUCAGGGGGUUCCCCCGGGAUGGUGCUUUUCCCAAACAGUGCCGAAGCUUGGUUGCUUGUCUGUGGCUUAUUGCCCAAGGGCAACCUCAAGAAACUCGUGCGAGGAAGCUCUGGGCUGCUUUGGGGGUUGUGCGUUUUCCUGAUGGUCACAAAUAUGUCACCUCGAAGGACUGUAAGUCUCUCUGCCUCUGCUUUUUGUUGCUUGAUGCCCAUCACCUCCUUCUAGAAGUUGCUGUGGAGUGCUCUGCCUUGCUAUCUGCCAAAGGCUGUGGCUUUAGUCGUGUGCGUGGGCCUCACCUCCCUCUCGCAUCUCCCUGUUCUCCCUACAGGUGCUCCAGAAAACAAGAGCUGCUUUGCCCCCAUCUGCUGCGAGUGUCAAGUAAACACCACCCCAUCGCCAGGGACCCUGCAGAGCUCUCAUUAAACAAUAGAGCCAAAAAUCCUUCAUGUACUUGCUCUUGUAGUUAUGUAGGACAGGAAGCUGUCAGGAGAGAAGCUGAGAAGUCUCUCGUGCCUCUGGAAGGAGAAAGAAGAUCUAUAUGCUCUGAAAAGGUCUACCGUGGAUUUCUGCCACUGAAUGCUAACAGGAAAAAAAAAAAAAACAAAACCAACACAUCAGUCUGAGGAGAUUCAGUUGUAAUGUAUUCGGUGACUGUUCCAGUACCAGUAGCUCAUGUUAAAAAGAAACAAAACUUAAAUCUCAAUGAAGAACCUGUGGAAAACGAAGAACAUCCUCAGAGCCCUGAAUCUUUUCAGGUUACACUAGGUGAGUAAAUAAUGUGUGAAAUUUUAAGCUUUCUAUUGGCCAGGGAUUUACCUCUGAGUGUUAUGUGUUUGAGCAGUAAACAUACUGAUUCUGUCGUCUGCCACCACACAAGCCAGUGGGCAGGUUGCUUUGUUUUAGAUGUUUUAUGUGUGAUCAGUUCAGUUGCCUUUCUCUUGAGGAGGUAACCUUUCUUCUGGCAGCAUCUCAUUGUCUGUGUGAAAGAAAUCACAUAAUGUGGCACAAAUGAGUCCAGUCUCACCUCCUUUCCCAAAAAGUGUUGCUAACACUCCAAAUCACAUGUCUCCUGGUUUCUGUGACUGUAUCUAAGACUUACGUUAGCUUGGAACUCUGACCCCCCCCCCCCUCCCCCCCAAACAAGAGAAUCUGAUUCAUAAGCUUUGUAUUGUAUUUCCCUGAAUAAUGGCCACCUCUUCUAUCAAUCUUCAGGUGUAAUUGCAACAUGGUUCUGUUAAUUGUAGAGCAUACUGUAUUUAAUGAACUAUUAAGGAGGAAUGAUGCCCUGAGUAGUACCCUGCUGUUAAUAAACCACGAAUAUAUUCAAUAUAUAGAUUAUUCUGAUAACUUUCUAGUUGAGAAGAGGGAUGAAUGAGUCAAUUAUAGCAUUGCUAAACUGUCAUCUGUGAGGACUUGAAGUCCAGUAAGCACAGCUUUUGCCCUUCUGUCUGUCAGACUGAUGUACAGACAUGUAACCUGAUGAUCCUCAAAGAAGAUGAGGGUUUAGUGUCCGUUUUGCAUGAUAAAGGGGCAUAGAGAAUCAGUCAGAUUGCUUUUUAAAGGCAGUAAAGCAAAUUUUGUGGAUUCCUUCCUUUCAUAAUUCCAUCAAGAAGCAUAAAACUCAAAAGUUAAAGAAUGAGGACUUAAUGACAGUCACCACUGUGCCANACU